rnacentral:misc_RNA from 1 species
CAUGCCAUAUCAUGAAAUAUAUUUUUGUUCCAAUCAAACGUCAACUUCUGUUCAAUGAUGACUUUGUUUAUUUUAAGCCUAAAUUUUCAAACAAAUUUUCGUCAAAGAUUUCUCAGCAACUAUUAAUUACAGAUGCUUGAAAUUUUAACACACUAUUUGUUUAGGCAUGUCAUAUUGUGGGAUAUAGUUUUGUACCAAUCUGACGUCCACUUCCUGUUAAAUUACGAUUUUGUUUAUUUUUAGCCAAAAUUUUCAAACAAAUAUUCGUCAAAGAUUUCUCAGCAACUAUAAAUUGCAGGUGCUUGAAAUUUAACACACUAUUUGUUUACGCAUGACAUAUUAUGAGAUAUAUAUUUGUAUCAAUCAGAUGCCAACUUCUGUUAAAUGUCGACUUUGCUUAUUUUGCAUUUUUACAUCAGAUCAGGGGUAUCACUAGUGAGCAUUGACCCACAGAUAACUUGUUUUUAUCAGAUAUUAAAAAUGAAAAAAAAAUAUCUUUUACACUGAGUUGUGCAUGUUGUUAUGUAUUGUUGUUUUGAUUUAUGUGUACAUGUAUCAGUGUGAACUAUGGACACGUGGCAAUAUAAUUUUAUUGAGUGUUAUUGUGUAAUAAAUGUUCAUGAAU